rnacentral:lncRNA from 1 species
ACAUUAUUUUCAUCUAAUAAUACUUAAUUUCAUCCAAUAGUACUAUUUUUAUCUAGUUGAGUCUAUUUUCAUCCAAUUAUGCCUAUUUUCAUCUAAAAAUGUUGUUCUAUUUAGUUGUACCUAUUGAAAAAAUACAAUAAGCAAGACACAAGUAAGUAGAAAUCAAUAAGAUUAGACACAAGAGAAGUGUGGAAUAAGAUGCCUCUCACUUCUAACAUCCUUUAUUUAUAGGUAUAAUUUACAUCCAUUGUGGCUUAACUUUAUUUUCAUUCAUCUUUAUUUCA